UACGGAGGAUGCAAGCGUUAUCCGGAAUGAUUGGGCGUAAAGCGUCCGCAGGUGGCUAUGUAAGUCUGCUGUUAAAGAGUGAGGCUCAACCUCAUAAGAGCAGUGGAAACUACAUGGCUAGAGUGCGUUCGGGGCAGAGGGAAUUCCUGGCGUAGCGGUGAAAUGCGUAGAGAUCAGGAAGAACACCGGUGGCGAAAGCGCUCUGCUAGGCCGCAACUGACACUCAUGGACGAAAGCUAGGGGAGCGAAUGGG
rnacentral:rRNA from 1 species